rnacentral:rRNA from 1 species
GAAGCGAUUCCGGCUACGGAUGGUCAUGCGUCGCGUUAGCUAGUUGGCGGGGUAACGGCCCACCAAGGCGACGAUGCGUAGGGGUUCUGAGAGGAAGGUCCCCCACACUGGUACUGAGACACGGACCAGACUCCUACGGGAGGCAGCAGUGAGGAAUAUUGGUCAAUGGCCGCAGGGCUGAACCAGCCAAGUCGCGUGAGGGAUGACGGUCCUAUGGAUUGUAAACCUCUUUUGUCAGGGAGCAAAGGGCGCCACGUGUGGCGCUUUGCGAGUACCUGAAGAAAAAGCAUCGGCUAACUCCGUGCCAGCAGCCGCGGUAAUACGGAGGAUGCGAGCGUUAUCCGGAUUUAUUGGGUUUAAAGGGUGCGCAGGCGGAAUGUCAAGUCAGCGGUAAAAUUUCGGGGCUCAACCCCGUCGUGCCGUUGAAACUGGCGUUCUUGAGUGAGCGAGAAGUAUGCGGAAUGCGUGGUGUAGCGGUGAAAUGCAUAGAUAUCACGCAGAACUCCGAUUGCGAAGGCAGCAUACCGGCGCUCAACUGACGCUCAUGCACGAAAGCGUGGGUAUCGAACAGGAUUAGAUACCCUGGUAGUCCACGCAGU